UACGGAGGGUGCAAGCGUUGUCCGGAUUUAUUGGGUUUAAAGGGUGCGUAGGCGGCUAAUUAAGUCAGCGGUGAAAUUCCACAGCUCAACUGUGGAACUGCCAUUGAUACUGGUUGGCUUGAGUACAGAUGAGGUAGGCGGAAUUGACAGUGUAGCGGUGAAAUGCUUAGAUAUUGUCAAGAACACCUAUUGCGAAGGCAGCUUACUAGCUGUAACUGACGCUGAGGCACGAAAGCGUGGGAUCAACCAGG
rnacentral:rRNA from 1 species